AUCUAGUUGACGAGUCUCAAAUAGGAUGAAACGUGCGUUCUGCAU
rnacentral:hammerhead_ribozyme from 1 species